UUGCACUGACAAGUGUCCGCUGUGUCUAUUCCGUGGCUGAGGGAUCGCUUAACGGUGCUAGAUCAAAUCCCUUCUUGGAGAUAGGCCAGGCUUUCUUGUAACCUGUCCCUACUGUUGGGUAUAAGC